rnacentral:lncRNA from 1 species
UGGAUUUCAAGUAAUCAAGCAAUCAAAGAUAAAAUUUCUUGAUUUUGACUUGUGAUCUACCUUUCCCAUGCAUUCUUUUGCAUUUUCCAUGGUUGAAUCACAUGAUUUCAUGAUGGGUAUCUUGCUGAUCAAACCCUAGGAGAGAGAUUUUGAUGGUUGUUUUGGUAAGAUUUUAAGAUAUUCUAGUGUUUUUAGUUGAUUGGUGAUGUGUAGCAUGAAAAUCAAGCAAGAAAAAUUCAUGUUCUUUCAUAACCCUCAUUGGUUGAAUUCUCCAUGUGGAAUAUUGACGAUGAUUUAGAUAGAUUUUUCAGAUAUAUGGAUGUUUUUAGUUGUUUAUGGUGUUAAGUGUAAGAAUUAAGCUUGAAAUUCACAUAUUCCUCAUGAGUUCAUCAUUGGCCGAAUCUUCCUUCUAGAGUGUUGAUGGUGGAUUUGAUUUUAUUUCAAGUGAACUGGUUAGCAAAUGAUGAAUUAUGGUGUGAAAAUCAAGUAGGAAAAAUCAUAGUGUUGAUGCACCCACCAUGGCCGAAAUUCUCAAGAGAAAAUGUGAAGAUGAUUUUGCUAAAUUUUAUGGUAUUUGACUUGUGUUUGAUGGUUUGGAGAAUUGGAAGAAAAAUGGAGUUAAUUGGUGUUGAAUUGGACAUAUUGGCCAAUUCAUCGGGUGAUAGAUCGAAUUAGGCCAAUACCGUUUUAUUUAGGUACACAAUUGAAAUUGUGUAGAAUACCGUAUUUAGACUAUAAUUCAAACAAUUUGCAUUCCAUUGCAUGCAUUAGUAAAAAGCCUUAAAUAGAUUUAUAAUGGUAUGACACAGUAUAUUGAAUUAUGUGUCGUGUAUUGUAUAUAAGUGGUAAGCCCUCUAACAAGGGUAAAAACGUUUGUCAGAUGACUGAGAAUAGGAGUAUUUCAAACUCCUGAUACAGUGAGUAACCUUAUCAUCAUCUUGAUUAUCGGAAGUGAAUUUUAAUUCGUUUUUGUGAUUUUAUGGAAAAUGAGUUUAAAUGGUAAAUCUUUAUGUUUUAUAAGCAAAAUGUGAUUAAAUGAAAUGAUUUUAUAAAUUGUCUUGAAAUUGAAUGAUGGCUUUGAAAAUAGAGUAAUUGGAGACCACUUGAUGUGUUGUAAAUUUAUGGUUCUAAUUGAUUAGCUUAUGGCAAUAUUGGCAUGACUGAUUGAAUUGGUAAAUGUGCUGAAAAUGUAUGAACUGUUGAUUUGCCUUGAGAGACUGUAAAAUAAAAUAAUUGCCAUGUCAUGCUAUCGCAAAUUUUAUUGUAUGGUGGGUUUAGCUUACUGCAGUGGGCGAGUUUCUGUGGACUAGCCUAUUAGAAGGGCACGGUAAACCCCUUUAUAUUUUACCUCAGUUGGAGAGGCUAGUAGGGUAACUCCCGAGGUACAAUUUUAGAGUUCACUUCACGCCAAACCACCACGUGAGGGUGAACUCGGCCAACGCCAAGGAACGGCUAUGUUUUCAAAAUAAAAACAUGAUUUAUGCAUACAUAACUUGUUAACAGCCAUGGCGGACUCGGUUUGGGAUAGCCCUCGGCCAAAGUAUCCCUGAUAACUGAGUAUGAGAAUGAUUUUUUGGCACGAGCCAAGUUUUUCAGAAAUUCAUAAGCCAUGUUGAUUACUCGAUUUAAAUGAAUUAAUUUUAUUUGGUUGAAAUGAGUUGAAAGGUGAUAAAUUACAGUAUGAUGAUUUAUUUCAAUCGUCUUCAUUUACUCGACUUUAGAUAUUUUGGAUGAUGUUUGUUUACUCAUUGGGAUUAUAUAAUCUCACCACCCUCCUUUCCACCCUUUUCAGGCUCAAGAUAGUCGGUAGAUAGCUCAUUUCGUUGAGGGCUACAAUUGGACUUGCAUCCUCAAAAACUGUAGGUUUAACGCUUUUGAUACUUUUGGUCGUUCGUGGGCCCACGUGUCAUUGUAAAUUAAAUCUUAUGCUUUGGUUAUCUGUAUUACAGUAUGUAUGAAUUUAUUUAACUUUUACACUACAAAAAUUAUUUAUCGGUAACUUUAUAAAUAUUGUUUUAUAAGAAAAUAGAAUAUUUUAUUGAAUAUUUUAAUUA